AGUGAAAUGGAUUUCCGCCUAAAGAGAAGCUUGCGGCUGAUUAGCUUGUUGGUAGGGUAAUGGCCUACCAAGGCGACGAUCAGUAUCUGGUUUGAGAGGACGAUCAGACACACUGGAACUGAGACACGGUCCAGACUCCUACGGGAGGCAGCAGUAGGGAAUUUUCCGCAAUGGGCGAAAGCCUGACGGAGCAAUACCGCGUGAGGGAUGACUGCCUAUGGGUUGUAAACCUCUUUUUUCAGGGAGGAAUAAAUGACGUGUACCUGAAGAAUAAGCAUCGGCUAACUCCGUGCCAGCAGCCGCGGUAAGACGGAGGAUGCAAGUGUUAUCCGGAAUCACUGGGCGUAAAGCGUCUGUAGGUGGCUCGACAAGUCAACUGUUAAAUCUUGAAGCUCAACUUCGAAAUCGCAGUCGAAACUAUCGAACUAGAGUAUAGUAGAGGUAAAGGGAAUUUCCAGUGGAGCGGUGAAAUGCGUAGAGAUUGGAA
rnacentral:rRNA from 1 species